GCGAUCACUAGCACUAAUGCACCAGAUCCUGUCAUAACUCCGCAAUUAAGCGUGCUUGGCGAGGGUAGUACUAGGAUGGGAGACCCCUUGGGAAGUCCUCAUGUUGCACCCA